rnacentral:tRNA from 1 species
ACUCUCUUAGUAUAAUUAAUACAACCGACUUCCAAUCAGUUAACUCUGAUAUAACUU